GUACGUGUAAUAAGUGUUAACACCGUACAACGUACGAACGCGGGUUUAUUUACUUUUUAAAUAAUACCUAUACACGAUGCGAUACAAAACACGUAUCACUUAUGCAACUGCAGACAGCUGCUUAAUACAGUCACACUUGUCUUGACUUGGCACACUAAAAAUAAUAAACCGAAUGAUUUCUUUCAACCGUUAUCACUCACAACACUCACUUUUUGACGGAUAACUCAGGGAAAGUUUGGCUAAUACGUACGAGUCACAUCUUACAAAACACACACAUACUCCACUCACAUUCGAGUUUUUACUCAGCACUCAAUGGUAAACUUUGAGUUGCUUCGGCACUCAGUUUUAAGUUUAAACGCAACAUGAGAGACAUUGAGCACGCAGUGAAGCCUUUUAGGCGACACAUUACGCUGAGCAGACUUUGCGAAUUUUAUUUGCGAAGCAUGUCAUACAAGCAUCUACAGCAUCAAGUCACAGGGUUGGCACGUGUAUUUUUGAACCUUCAAAGCAGUCACGCAUACGGAAGAGUAGUUUCUGAUCCCAUAGAAGGAGCACCGUACAAUGAGAGACGGCUCUUAGUUCUAAGGAACGCAGCAGGCGCGUAAAUUGCCCAAUGUUAGUACCCUACAAUUUUGUUAAUCAACUUAUAUUUUAGACUAUCAACACACAAAACAUCCUUGUCUUAAAAUACUGUGAUAAACUCAAUAUUUAUUUAUUGAGGCAGUGACAAGCUGUAACGGUUGAGUAUAAUAAUGACGAGUGUCUGACCUUGCCGCUCCUCCGGGAGCUUGGCGAGUUGUCGACGCUUUGUGUGCUCAAUUGGAAUGCGGUGAGUUUAAGCAACUCAGAACCUUUGUAUCGGUGUUUGGCAACAUCACCUUUUGCAUGUAUCUGACUUCAGUGAGGCAGUCUNNNNNNNNNNNCCGCGGUAAUACCAGCUCCACUGGCCUAUACAAUCAUUGUUGCGGUUAAGAGGCUCGUAGUUGGAUUGAACAAUAAAAAAUUGAUGUUUAUUUUACGUAAACACUCAACAAAACUCGACACACCACACACACACACCAAAUCUGUGUGCGUAUUGUGGCGCGUAUCACGUGUCUUACCACACACUAUUUUCCACACUGUGAKCAAAUCAGAGUGUAUCAAACAGGUCGUUUUUUCAUGUGCUUGAAUGUCUUAUCAUGGGAUGUUGCAUUAUGAUAUAUAACACCUUUUGUUAUGCCAACGACACACACAAACUCUAUACGUGGUAAAACAAAAUAAUAUGAAUACUUUUAUGUAUCAUAUCAUGUCGAUGGGGAUAGUUGGAGUCAACAGUACUGCUGGGCGAGAGGUGAAAUUCAUUGACCCUAGCAAGACUACCAAAAGCGAAAGCAGUUGGCUAGGCUAUACUCUUUGUGAUUGUAUUUGUUGUCUUACACACAAUAAAUUUAAAACAAUACACUUUACAAUGAAGAACGAAGGUUGGGGGAUCAAAGAGGAUCAGAUACCCUCGUCGUCCCAUUAAUUACAUCAAACGAUGGGCUCUCAAUUGCAUUCUACAGUCAUGUAGAUUUGAUCUCUCCUCAACCUGCAAACAUAAUUUGUUGGCUUGAGCCGUAUUUCGAUACGCUCGCCUCUAACUUUGUUAGUAUGGUCUCGACGGACUUUUCUGUUCUACAUACAAUCUUUGCGUGUAAGCUACGUUGUCAUAUCUUUACAUAUGCAACUGCGUGCACUUGAUUUUCGGAGCUUUGCGCUCAAUUUAAUACUGGUGAGAUGUAAGCGUCAUGUCUUUGCUGCCCGCAUUUGCUCGCUCUCGGGCUUGUUUAAAUGUCGUGUGCAGUCUUGACAAAACUUUAUAUGACGUGAAGCACGCGUUAGGCACGCGCUUACUGCAGAAAUGUCUGAGACACUUCUUUCCUGGGGUAGUAUGCACGCAAGUGUGAAACUUGAAGGAAUUGACGGAAGGGCACCACAAGAACGCGUGGAGCAUGUGGCUUAAUUUGACUCAACGCGGGAAAUCUUACCGGGUCCGGACACACUGAGGAUUGACAGGUUUUAUCCAAUUGCUUUUAGCAUUUGGUGUCAAAAAUGCUAGUCCUUUCAUGAUUAUGUGAUAGGUGGUGCAUGGCCGUUCUUAGUUCGUGGAGUGAUCUGUCUGCUUAAUUGCGUUUCACUACGAAUCUACUUUAAACGUGUGUUUGUGAGAUAGACUGAUCCCUCCCACCACUCUGUGGUCUGGCGAGCUGCGCGUCUUUCUAUCGUUACCACAUCAUACAACGUUGAUUCUGAAAGCAACGAACGUGACCGCAACCUCUUGUUGCCUGUAUAACCAUAACAGUUUGCACUCUGUGCUCUCUGUAAAAACAGGCCUUAUAUUAAUAAACUAGAGGGACCGCUGUUACUUUCUUAAACCAGAGGAAGGUUGCGGCAAUAACAGGUCUGUGAUGCCCUUAGAUGUUCCGGGCUGCACACGUGCUACAAUGAUUAUUGCAGUGAGCAUCUCAUAUUAAUACAUCACUUGCAUGAGCUGUUUAGCUUUUAGUUAUGCUGUCUCUAUGCGUGAUAAAGCCUGCUUCGAAAGUAAGUGGGUAAUCAAUUAGAAGUAAUGAUUUCCUUUAUAUGCACAUUUAUGUUUGGCACUAAUCCCCAGUCUAACUUUUGUUAGUACUUGUGUGUGUUUAGUGGGCCUCUGUGCCUCUACCAUUCGUGCAAUUGUCAAUUCAUGGUGGGGACAGACCAUUGUUAAUUGUUGGUCUCGGUCUUAACUAGGAAUGCCUUGUACGGGUCUUUGGUUCAACAAACCACCCGGAAUACGUCCCUGCCCUUUGUACACACCGCCCGUCGCUCUUACCGAUGGAUUUCUCUGUGAGUUUGAAGGACUGGCCUUCUGUGCUAUGGAAAUCAAACG
rnacentral:rRNA from 1 species